rnacentral:rRNA from 1 species
UACGUAGGGCGCAAGCGUUGUCCGGAAUUAUUGGGCGUAAAGAGCUCGUAGGUGGCUUGUCGCGUCUGCCGUGAAAGCCCAUGGCUUAACUGUGGGUCUGCGGUGGAUACGGGCUGGCUAGAGGUGAGGUAGGGGCAAGCGGAAUUCCUGGUGUAGCGGUGAAAUGCGCAGAUAUCAGGAGGAACACCGGUGGCGAAGGCGGCUUGCUGGGCCUUACCUGACGCUGAGGAGCGAAAGCGUGGGGAGCGAACAGGA